rnacentral:ncRNA from 1 species
GAUCUUCGGGGUAGGGUGAAAUUCCCAAUCGGCGGUAAAGUCCGCGAGCGAAAGCAUGAACCGGUGUGACUCCGGUACCGACAGUAUAGUCUGGAUGGAAGAAGAUG